rnacentral:piRNA from 1 species
UGGCUGUUCUUGGGAACACUCUGGAA